GACAGAGGCCUCGAGCGUUAUUCGGAAUCAUUGGGCUUAAAGCGCGUGUAGGCGGAUUCGUGCGUCUGUCGUUGAAAUCCCCCGGCUCAACCGGGGAAGUGGCGCGGAUACGACGAGUCUGGAGGGGCAUAGGGGGACCUGGAACUUCCGGUGGAGCGGUGAAAUGCGUUGAGAUCGGAAGGAACGCCCGUGGCGAAAGCGAGGUCCUGGAUGCCUACUGACGCUGAGACGCGAAAGCCAGGGGAGCGAACGGG
rnacentral:rRNA from 1 species